AACGAACGCUGGCGGCAGGCUUAACACAUGCAAGUCGAACGCAUGCCUACGGGCAUGAGUGGCUGACGGGUGAGUAACGCGUGGGAACCUACCCCUUGGUACGGGAUAGCUCCGGGAAACUGGAGAUAAUACCGAAUGUUUCCUGAGGGACAAAGAUUCAUUGCCAAGGGAUGGGCGCGCGUGGGAUUAGCUAGUUGGUGGGAUAACGGCCUACCAAGGCGACGAUCCGUAGCUGGUCUAAGAGGAUGAUCCGCCACAUUGGGACUGAGACCCGGCCCGAACUCUUAGGGGAGGCAGGAGCGGGGAAUAUUGGACAAUGGGCGCGAGCAUGAUGCAGCCAGGCCGCGUGAGUGAUGAAGGCGCUAGGGUUGUAUAGCUCUUUCAACGGUGACGAUAAUGACGGUAACCGGAGAAGAAGCCCCGGCUAACUUCGUG
rnacentral:rRNA from 1 species